rnacentral:rRNA from 1 species
ACGAGUGGCGGACGGGUGAGUAAUGUCUGGGAAACUGCCUGAUGGAGGGGAUAACUACUGGAAACGGUAGCUAAUACCGCAUAACGUCGCAAGACCAAAGAGGGGACCUUCGGGCCCCUUACCAUCGGAUGUGCCCAGAUGGGAUUAGCUAGUAGGUGGGGUAACGGCUCACCUAGGCGACGAUCCCUAGCUGGUCUGAGAGGAUGACCAGCCACACUGGAACUGAGACACGGUCCAG